AUUGAACGCUGGCGGCGUGCCUAAUACAUGCAAGUCGAACGAAGUGGCGGACGGGUGGGUAAUAUAUAGUUAAGCUGCCCUCCACAGAGGAACAACAGUUGGAAACGACGGCUAAUAACUCAUAGUGUAGGAUGAGACUAUAUCGUAUCAGCUAGUUGGUAAGGUAGUGACUUACCAAGGUUAUGACGCGUAACUGGUCUGAGAGGAUGAUCAGUCACAUUGGAACUGAGACACGGUCCAAACUCCUACGGGAGGCAGCAGUAAGGAAGAUGGCGCAAUGGGGGAAACCCUGACGCAGCAACGCCGCGUGGAGGAUGACACUUUUCGGAUCGUAAACUCCUUUUAUCAGGAAAGCGGUACCUGAUGAAUAAGCACCGGCUAACUCCGUGCCAGCAGCCGCGGUAAUUC
rnacentral:rRNA from 1 species